AUGCCUACUUCAGCAGCACAUAUACUAAAAUUGGAACGAUACAGAGAUUAGCAUGGCCCCUGUGCAAGGAUGACACACAAAUUCAUGAAGCAUUCUAUAUUUUU
ensembl:snRNA U6 U6 spliceosomal RNA